AUACGGAGGGUGCAAGCGUUAUCCGGAAUCACUGGGUUUAAAGGGUGCGUAGGCGGCCUGGUAAGUCAGAGGUGAAAUACACGAGCUUAACUGGUGAAUUGCCUUUGAAACUAUCAAGCUAGAAUUAUGUUGAGGUCAGCGGAAUGAGUCAUGUAGCGGUGAAAUGCAUAGAUAUGACUUAGAACACCAAUUGCGUAGGCAGCUGGCUAGGCAUUAAUUGACGCUGAGGCACGAAAGCGUGGGGAGCGAACAGGAUUAGAAACCCUAGUAGUCC
rnacentral:rRNA from 1 species